CGACCUUUCCUAAAAUUCAUUGCGUCUUUUCUUCCUAAAAAUUCAAUUCAACAAUUUUAUUUCCUUUUUUUAUACUGAAAAUCAAAUUGACCAAUCAUGAGAUUCAACAAAGGCAGCAAAGUUGAGGUACUAACCAAGAACGAGGCUCCAACCGGCGCGUGGCGCUGUGCCGAGAUUAUCUCCGGCAACGGCCACACUUACAGCGUGAAGUACGGUUGGCUUCCGAUCACCGUCGAGGCAGCUCCGGUGGAGAGAGUCCCCAGGAAAGCGAUUAGGCAUUGUCCUCCUCCUAUAAACGGGGCCGAUGAUUGGGUUCCCGGCGACGUCGUUGAGGUGUUCGACGAUUUGUGCUGGAAACCGGCGGUGAUCGUUAGAGUUUUCGGUGGAAACAACUUUUCCGUUAGGAUUAUUGGAUCGAGUAGCGUACUCAAUGCACAUCAAUCUCGAUUGCGUGUACGACAAUCUUGGGAAGAUGGCAGAUGGUUCCUUGUUGGAAAGGGCUCGUCGAAUUCGUCUGGACCACCGAAGAGGAAAAGAUCAUUGCUUGGCUUCUCGGAUGCUGGCGGAAAGAAGACGAGGGUGAUUGAAAAAGGUAGUAUUGGUGGUCAAAGACUAAUAGUUCGGCUACCUCGUCCAGCUUCUGAAAAGGUAGAUGCAUUCGUUUCCCCAAAAAAUAUACUGGGUGAAAGAUGUAUGCCUUCUUCAUUUCGUAGAAUUGAUGAUACCAAUGAUACCAUGAGUUGUGCGUCAUCUGUUGGUAGUUGUAGUGGUUUAGGGAAUAAUGGUCUUAACUUGUCUCCUAGUUAUGUAACAAAAAGUUGUGAAAACUUAGAGGUUUACUGUAGUGACGCUGACUCAUAUUCUGAAAGGUGUUGUAGAGAAGAAGGAAUUUCUUUUUCCACUAGUGUGGAAUUGGGAACAGAUUUCCAUAGGUCGGAGCUGCAUGCCUAUCAGAAAGCACUGGGGGCAUUGCAUGCUUCUGGGCCUUUGACUUGGGAAAAAGAAGAAAAGAGUAUCUCAUUGUCACUGUUGGAGGCAUCCAUACAUAGCUUCAAAAGCCAUGAUUGGGUUUAAGUUUGGCACCUCUUGCAGUUGACCCGUGGGCAACAUACAUGGUUUAUUCCCUAAUGGAUCCCUUAAACCCUGCUUUUGAUGGGUACAUAUGAGCCCCGUCAAAGAUCUCCCAGUUUGAAAAUCAUCACCUGUGUUACACAGUAUUACUUGUUUUCUUUUUCAUGGAUUCUGCAUGACGAAAGAUCCAUGCUGUGAUUAAAAUGUUGGUUUUCCUUUAUAAUGUACAGUGCAUGAGAAUAUGCAGGUAACACAUUCUUUUCCCAAAUCAUUAUCAGCGGUUGAUGCUUAGUGGGACAUUUUAGAUCAUGUUUGAGUAGAAGUGGUUUAUCAGAAAUUCAGAUAUUAGAUUCCUAUUUAUUGUCGUUGCAUGCAGUAUGGACUUUGGUUGCUUCAGUUCAUACCCUUCGGUAUUAGGUAGGUUUCUUGUAAUUGGCAAGUUCUGUUUGCUAUUUAUAUUGGAUGCUUUGGCUACCAGUUAACUUCAUGUUUAAGAAAUAUGAAUGCUUUGGCUAAGGUAUGUUUAUCAAAAAGCCUCUUUAUUCUCAUAAUCAUAACAUGCUGUGGUUAAUUGGCCUUCAAUUUAAAUUCGUCCAUGUUUAUUGUUACAUGUGAAACUACAGAUCAUGAGGCAGAGACAUACUGAUAGAGGAACCUUAACGGUUGUUUCUACCGGAGUGGAAUUUCAAUUUGAUACCGAGACUCAUGAAUUCAUGAACCUCUUGAUAUUGGUUUCUUGUGUUGCCUAAUGCCAUUGUUUAAUUCUAAAUGUGGAACAUGUUAAUAUUUUAACAUCAUUUUAAAAAAGGAAAACUGGAAUUUUAUUAUUGUUCAUAGGUUGACCUUGUAAAGUGUACUAAUGACUAGCAUUAAAAUUAUGAUAGUUUUUUAUUGUAGAAACUAUUUUUUUUAAUAAUCUGUUGUGGUUUAUUGUAGUAUAUGUCUUUAUCUUGAUUGGAUAAACUCACGCACAUCUUACAGAUAAACUCAAACUCGGGCGAGUGAGAGGCUCAUGCCAACUGAGACCAUUCCUCAAGGAUCAUUUUUUAAACGGUUGUAAUCACAGGUGAGCAAUUUUCAGACACUAAGCAACUUCACAUCAUCCAACACCAGUCCGCAAAAGAGAACCCGAGUUAUCACUUAGCAUGGUGUGAAAUGUUCUAUAGAAUAUGAUCCGAGUAUGUGUCGACUUUGCCCUGAACUCAAGUCUAGCUGGAGUUGUCAGAAACCUUGGUAGUGUUUCUGCCUUAACUGCUUCUACCUUCGCAUGCAUAAUGAGAGCACAUAGUUUUCUGGCAACCGCACUUUCGUUUCCGGUAAUGUGUUCAAUGGCCCGUUUGCCCUUGGAAAGUGAGAAAUGUUCACUGUCAAUGUACUUGAUUCCUUUCAGCAGCCGGAUAAAGUACUGACCGUCUUCAGUCUGCAGUGGAAUGAUAACACAUUCGGACGUUGGGUUCUGGAAGAUAAAUUUAAUCCCAUAUAAAUAAUAUAAAAU